rnacentral:rRNA from 1 species
AGAGUUUGAUUAUGGCUCAGAACGAACGCUGGUGGCGUGUUUUAUACAUGCAAGUCGAGCGAGGACGGUAGCAAUACCGAGCCGAGCGGCGAACGGGUGAGUAACGCGUAAGCAAUCUGCCCCACAAUCGGGAACAACCGUGCCAACGCGCGGCUAAUGCCGGAUAUUGUAGUCUACUGCAUAGUAGGCCAACGAAAGAUUUAUUGUUGUGGGAUGAGCUUGCGUCCGAUUAGCUAGUUGGCGGGGUAAUAGCCCACCAAGGCGACGAUCGGUAGCCGGCCUGAGAGGGUGAUCGGCCACAUUGGGACUGAGAUACGGCCCAGACUCCUACGGGAGGCAGCAGUAGGGAAUAUUGCGCAAUGGGGGGAACCCUGACGCAAGCAACGCCACGUGUGGGAAGAAGCAUUUCGGUGUGUAAACCACUGUCGGAAAGGAAUAACGGAAGACUUCGGUCUUUAUGAAUGUACUUUUAGAGGAAGCACCGGCAAACUUCGUGCCAGCCGCCGC